rnacentral:rRNA from 1 species
AUUGAACGCUGGCGGCAUGCCUUACACAUGCAAGUCGAACGGUAACAGGUCUUCGGAUGCUGACGAGUGGCGAACGGGUGAGUAAUACAUCGGAACGUGCCCAGACGUGGGGGAUAACGAGGCGAAAGCUUUGCUAAUACCGCAUACGAUCUAAGGAUGAAAGCAGGGGACCGCAAGGCCUUGUGCGGUUGGAGCGGCCGAUGGCAGAUUAGGUAGUUGGUGGGAUAAAAGCUUACCAAGCCGACGAUCUGUAGCUGGUCUGAGAGGACGACCAGCCACACUGGGACUGAGACACGGCCCAGACUCCUACGGGAGGCAGCAGUGGGGAAUUUUGGACAAUGGGCGAAAGCCUGAUCCAGCAAUGCCGCGUGCAGGAUGAAGGCCUUCGGGUUGUAAACUGCUUUUGUACGGAACGAAAAGGCUCUGGCUAAUACCUGGGGCACAUGACGGUACCGUAAGAAUAAGCACCGGCUAACUACGUG